UACGGGGGGGGGCAAGCGUUGUUCGGAAUUACUGGGCGUAAAGGGCGCGUAGGCGGCCUGCUAAGUCGAACGUGAAAUCCCCGGGCUUAACCCGGGAACUGCGUCCGAUACUGGUGGGCUUGAAUCCGGGAGAGGGAUGUGGAAUUCCAGGUGUAGCGGUGAAAUGCGUAGAUAUCUGGAGGAACACCGGUGGCGAAGGCGGCAUCCUGGACCGGUAUUGACGCUGAGGCGCGAAAAGCUAGGGGAGCAAACGGG
rnacentral:rRNA from 1 species